rnacentral:rRNA from 1 species
UACAGAGGGUGCGAGCGUUAUUCGGAAUUACUGGGCGUAAAGAGAGUGUAGGCGGUUUAGUAAGUUUGAUGUGAAAGCCCUGGGCUUAACCCAGGAAGUGCAUUGAAUACUGCUAGACUGGAGUAUGAGAGAGGAGAACGGAAUUCCUGGUGUAGAGGUGAAAUUCGUAGAUAUCAGGAGGAACAACGGAGGCGAAGGCGGUUCUCUAGAUCAUAACUGACGCUGAGGCUCGAAAGCGUGGGGAGCAAACAGG